CCAGGUGUGAUGAGUUCCUAUUACCGCCCCAGUCUGAUUAAUUAUGACUGAUUGGUAUCCCCUGAUCCUGC
ensembl:snoRNA SNORD31 Small nucleolar RNA SNORD31